rnacentral:rRNA from 1 species
UAGCGGCGAGCGAGCGGGAAGAGCUCAAAUUUAUAAUCUGGCACCUUCGGUGUCCGAGUUGUAAUCUCUAGAAAUGUUUUCCGCGUUGGACCGCACACAAGUCUGUUGGAAUACAGCGGCAUAGUGGUGAGACCCCCGUAUAUGGUGCGGACGCCCAGCGCUUUGUGAUACAUUUUCGAAGAGUCGAGUUGUUUGGGAAUGCAGCUCAAAUUGGGUGGUAAAUUCCAUCUAAAGCUAAAUAUUGGCGAGAGACCGAUAGCGAACAAGUACCGUGAGGGAAAGAUGAAAAGCACUUUGGAAAGAGAGUUAACAGUACGUGAAAUUGUUGGAAGGGAAACGCUUGAAGUCAGACUUGCUUGCCGAGCAAUCGGUUUGCAGGCCAGCAUCAGUUUUCCGGGAUGGAUAAUGGUAGAGAGAAGGUAGCAGUUUCGGCUGUGUUAUAGCUCUCUGCUGGAUACAUCUUGGGGGACUGAGGAACGCAGUGUGCCUUUGGCGGGGGUUUCGACCUCUUCACACUUAGGAUGCUGGUGGAAUGGCUUUAAACGACCCGUCUUGA